CUCCUUUUGUUUUAGGCGAGUAAAUCAUGGUGUCUUAUGUAAGCAAAUAUUUGUCUUCAUAAUCAUAACCACAACUAUUAACACGAAUUAGGAUCGUAGUAGUUGGUUGAUUUUUUUUAUUCUUUAAGAAAACUUCUCAUUUGUUUAAUCCAUUGGAUGUAAGAAAAUCCUUCCUAUAGCUCAAAAAUGGUACUUGUGCCUUUAGGUUUAAUUGGGUUUGAACCGUGAACCUGUAGUGUUGGACCAGCUUCACUGCUUUAGUAGGGACCAACGGCGGUUAGUCCUUUAAGAGAAUAAAUGGCCCACUUUUGUCAAGGCGAUGGCUUAAAACAGAGGGCAAAAGUGCUCGUCGAAUAGUAGCGGGGAAAUUUUGGCCCUUUUCCUUAAAAUUAAUGAGAAGGAAAUUGAGGUAGAGUAGUCCAAAAGUUCAGUAUGAUGACCUGAUGUGCUCGAGAAACAAUAGCAAAGGAUGAUAAUGUGCUUACUGAAGGCAUCAUUAUAUAUUUUGUUUUUGAAAAAAAGUGAUGUGUUUAUUGAAGGCAGUCACAGAAAUUUUCUGGAAGUGUAUGAGGCAAUAAAGAUGGUGUGUAGUCAUCCGUCUCUCCUAAUGGGCAACGUUAUCCAAUACCUAUACUAGUGAGAGAAGGCAAGUAUCCAGAGGAACAUUUGACACACUGCCAAGUUUUACUGCUGUUAUUACAAAAGAAAAAGCAUUCUUUCUUUUGAUGUUGUAUAAUAUCCCUUGCCGUCAAGAAAAUAAUUACUUGUACCCAUAGCCUUGAUAGCUUCUUAGGUAGAUUGUGGUGGACAGAAACUCUUCUGCUCUCUCACGUCUACUCUUUUCUGUGGUCUGCUGUGAUUUGCCCUGCCUGUUUAGUUGUUACAAUUUCUUUUAUGUGGGGGAUUGUUUGUGUUUCCGUUUUUUCCCUUCCAGUGGCUGGUGGUUGAGCAUUAUUGAGUUGGUUUGGUUGAAAAUAUUAUUACCACGUGCUCUUUGGAUUUGCAUUCUUAUUGUUUAAUUGAAGUCGUUGACAUAUAAACCGAGUUGUAUAUCAUUAGGCAUUGUGUCUAAUUGUUUGUGUCCUUAAUUCUGCAGUAUUAUUAUGAUCCAGUCUCUGGGAGUAAAUUCCAGUCAAAGACUGAGGUGCUUGAUUUCCUGGUAACGGGUGGCAAGCGCAGGGCCGACACUGGUGGUGAUGCUACACCAUCUGAGACCCCCCAAUAGCAAGAAACAGAAGAAGGGUGUGUGUGUUCUGGGUUCAGAUGGAUAGUUGUGCAGAUACUUGGACAACUUUUAUUGAUGGCGACAUGGUUCGUGAAGGCUAAAGAGAAGAAUGGGAUGCUGUCUUCUCAGCUGUGUCGCAAAGGAAUGCAAAUGAGGAGGCAGGCAUCUAGCUAGACUAGGCAGUGUGUCAAAUCUCAUCUGAAUUGGGCUCACUUUCUUUUGGUUUUAGCAUAGGGACCUUAUUGGUGUUGAUAGCUUCUGGCUUUGGCAUAGGAAUAGGCAAAAGGUGCUCCACCUAAACUCUGUUUGUGAUGUACUUGUAUGGUCUGUUAUUGGUGUCGUUGAACCAGUGAAUUUUUGAAGCAUUUUACUAGGAUGGACAUGUGAAAAUUGUCUCAACUAUGAAAAUACUGUAGUUACUGAGUAUGAGGUGGUCGGUCUUAUCUUAUGCUUGUGAAUGACAGAUUAUUUUAUAGCAGGUCCAA